AGCAGCCGCGGUAAUUCCAGCUCCAAUAGCGUAUAUUAAAGUUGUUGCAGUUAAAAAGCUCGUAGUUGAAUUUCGGGGUCAGUAGGUUGGUCAUGCCUCCGGUAUGUACUGGUCUCACUGAUUCCUCCUUCCUGAUGAGCCGUAAUGCCAUUAAUUUGGUGUUGCGGGGAAUCUGGACUGUUACUUUGAAAAGAUUAGAGUGUUUAAAGCAGGCUCACGCUUGAAUACAUUAGCAUGGAAUAAUGAAAUAGGACGUUUGAUUCUAUUUUGUUGGUUUCUAGGAUCGACGUAAUGAUUAAUAGGGAUAGUUGGGGGCAUUAGUAUUCAAUUGUCAGAGGUGAAAUUCUUGGAUUUAUUGAAGACUAACUACUGCGAAAGCAUUUGCCAAGGAUGUUUUCAUUAAUCAAGAACGAAAGUUAGGGGAUCGAAGACGAUCAGAUACCGUCGUAGUCUUAACCAUAAACUAUGCCGACUAGGGAUCGGAUGAUGUUAAUUUUUAAUGACUCAUUC
rnacentral:rRNA from 1 species